rnacentral:rRNA from 1 species
UACGAAGGGUGCAAGCGUUACUCGGAAUUACUGGGCGUAAAGGGUGCGUAGGUGGUUGUUUUAAGUCUGUUGUGAAAGCCCCGGGCUCAACCUGGGAAUGGCAAUGGAUACUGGACAGCUAGAGUGCGGUAGAGGGUAGUGGAAUUCCCGGUGUAGCAGUGAAAUGCGUAGAGAUCGGGAGGAACACCAGUGGCGGAAGGCGGCUACCUGGACCAGCACUGACACUGAAGCACGAAAGCGUGGGGAGCAAACAGG